GGUUCGGGCUCUUCUUGCGCAGCUUAGGUGGAAGGCGUUGAAAGAGAGCUUCCGGGUUCUCUGGAGCCACCAGUGAGAUACCACUCUGGAAGAGCUAGAAUUCUAAUCUCGACCCCUUAGCGGGGCGUGUGACAGUUUCGGGUGGGCAGUUUGACUGGGGCGGUCGCCUCCUAAAAGGUAACGGAGGCGUGCAAAGGUUCCCUCCGGCUGGACGGAAAUCAGCUGUAGAGUGUAAAGGCAGAAGGGAGCUUGACUGCGAGACCUACAAGUCGAGCAGGGACGAAAGUCGGCCUUAGUGAUCCGACGGUGCCGUGUGGAAGGGCCGUCGCUCAACGGAUAAAAGUUACUCUAGGGAUAACA
rnacentral:rRNA from 1 species